UUCUACACAUUAUGCCAUUGUUUUUGACAUAAAAAAAACCCCUGUUCGGCUAAGCGCAGACACAUGCACUAGAAUAGAAGCAAUAGAAGCAUAGCGAUCAUUAUACCAAAAACUGGUAAUUGUAAUGAACUAAAUUAGCAGUGGGCAGCAACAUACGUCCGAACGUCUGAACGUGAAAACGAGUCCGAUGCGCAUCUGAGAAGCCUGCGCUGCAAGGUUUAAAAAGAUAACGAGUGCACAAAAGGCCUAACAUCGGAGGAGCGUCUCGAAUCGAUGGAUCAAAAAAUCACUCGCAAAUUUGAGGUUGUGCUCGGAAGUUGCUGAGCUAAAAGUGAUGGUGGGCCAGCUUACAGCCAAUCAAUUAAAUCAAACUAACAUCUUGGCAGCUGCCCCAUAACAAGUUUCGAUGACCUCGUUGAUCUCAACGAAAAAAUUGGGAAGGGUAGUCGAGACGAAUACAUCAAUGAUUGCAUCAGCGCCUGCAUCCAGGCUUAGUUGGAUAAAAUUUAAAAAAUAUUUUUACUGACGGGGUGGGCUUAGACUGCAAUGUGGAUGGGGUGCUAGGCAAGAGGUGCCUUAAGUCUCUUGAAUCAAAUCCCAAUUUUAAAUAACAAUAUUUAAAAUAUUUCUUCAAAUAUAUUUUCAGCAUUAAUUGAAAUGGUAGGGCCCAGUGAUCACACACCUGCGCCAUGCUUUACACCUGCAAAAGAAGACGGUGAUUUCAAAAAGUAAUAAAAAUAAAGCUACGAAUAAUUGUCAAUAGUUAUUAAGAUUUAGAUUUAAGCCAGGAAGGAAUUUGUUGUU